GACGAACGCUGGCGGCGUGCUUAACACAUGCAAGUCGAACGGAAAGGCCCUGCUUUUGUGGGGUGCUCGAGUGGCGCACGGGUGAGUAUCACGUGUGUAUCCUGCCCUUGACUUUGGGAUAACUUCAGGAAACUGGGGCUAAUACCGGAUAGGAGCUCCUGCUGCAUGGUGGGGGUUGGAAAGUUUCGGCGGUUGGGGAUGGACUCGCGGCUUAUCAGCUUGUUGGUGGGGUAGUGGCUUACCAAGGCUUUGACGGGUAGCCGGCCUGGGAGGGUGACCGGCCACAGUGGGACUGAGAUACGGCCCAGACUCCUACGGGAGGCAGAAGUGGGGAAUAUUGCACGAUGGGCGGAAGCCUGAUGCAGCAACGCCGCGUGCGGGAUGACGGCCUUCGGGUUGUAAACCGCUUUCGCCUGUGACGAAGCGUGAGUGACGGUAAUGGGUAAAGAAGCACCGGCUAACUACGUG
rnacentral:rRNA from 1 species